rnacentral:lncRNA from 1 species
GAGAGAGAGAGAACAGAAAACUUAUGAUAGCUCUAGCUCGUAUAAUGAUGACGACUGCUUUUCUAGAGGGAGAGGAGGAGGAAAGAGAGAGAGAAGGAGAGCCUUGGACGGAGGACUUUGGCUGAAGGGAGCCUACAGAGGCUGAAGCCCCUCGAUACUGCAAAUGGAUGAAAAAAUGCUGGGCACACAGUGCUGCUGUCUGGUUGCCAUGGUGACCACAGCCUAUUAUCCCGCCUUGUCAUUCAUCAAGAAAGAAUUGCACUUGACAGAGAGAGGAGAAUGCCUGCAGUCUGCAGCAAAAAAAAAAGGGGGGGGCGGUUUUCUUUUCUUCUGAGUAUGUAAAAGGUCUUUAAUGCCCGUUUCGUUACAUGUUUUAUUUAACAUUAUUUAUUACUUGUAACGGCAAUAAUUGAUACCUGUAAAAAUACACCCCCUCCCUUCAAAGUGUUUAAUUUGCAAUUUGCUCGUUUGUCUUGCUUCCCCAUUUUCAAGCUACACCCCCCUUCACUUCCACCUCCGUGAGGGGAACAGCUAAAUGGUCACAUUCUCCAAAGAGAGUGACCAUUGUCCAGGUGCCUCAAAAAGCAAGCCAACCUCACCCCCCCCCCCUUAAUUGUGCCCUGUGCUCAUCAGCUUCUGCUGUCCUCCUCAUUUAGAAAAAUAAUUAGUGCACUUUGGGGAAAACAACAACAACAACAAUUGAACAUAACCUUUGACCAGAGCAGAUCCUCCAAGUGUGCAAUGCCUGUGGACUAAAAUAUUCAAAAAGGAAGGUUUCUGCCCUCCCCCCAAAAUGGAGGUCUUUCCAGGAGAGGGUAGAAUAUAAAACCAGUAAUUGCUCUUUACAAAGUUGGAUCCUAACCAAACUCAUUCUUCAAAGGCAGGAAAAGGUAAUUACUUGUUAUUUGGCCAUUCCUCAUCUUUGCCAUCUGAAUUAACCCAAAUUAAUUCUGAAAAUAUGUGGCCUAAUACCUUUUGUAAAUGAAUACAUUUGUAGGUUUAAACACCUUGUCUUUUUCUUUUACGCUCCCCCCCCCUUUUCUUUCUUUCUUUCUUCCUUGUUAUUAAGAACCUGGGAUUAUUUCCCUGUUAAUUGUUGGGUUGUUAAACUAUCUGUAUCUGGUUGGGUCAUUGUAAAAGCCUGUGCUCUACAGAACUGCCUGGUACCAGCUGAUUUCCUUGUUAAUGGGGAGAAUGUAUAGUAAAAAAAGUUUUAUUGGCUGGGUGGGAUUUUAAGUUGAGGUCCUCUUAGCUUGGUUUUUAAAUCUGUUGAAUCUUUUGUCCUGGAGAUCACAGGAAAGAUGGUAGAAGCACAGAUGCACCUGAAUUGCUGA